AUUGUCAGGAGGAAUUUUAUCGCUCCCGAUGCUGAUGCUAUAUUGAACAUACCAUUGCGGCAAGGGGGAGGUGAGGACUUCUGGGUAUGGGCGUGGGAGAAGAUGGGUGUCUAUACUGUAAAAUCUGCAUAUCGGGCUCUUAUGACUCGCAACGAGCACUUAGCUCUAGAGGAAGGGACGACUACGGGUACUUCAGAGACAGAAAAACAGUUAUGGGCAAGGUUGUGGAAGCUACAAAUGGUACCUAAAGUUCGUGUGUUCUGGUGGCGAGUUCUACGGGGAAUCCUUCCUGUCGAGCGAACACUACAGCACAGACAUAUAGCCACCACAGCUAGAUGUAAAGUCUGCCUAGCUGCAGACGAGGAUUUGAUGCAUGCGCUGAUUAAGUGCACUCAUGCAAAGAGGUUCUGGGGGGAAGCGAGAGAGUGGCUACAAGUGAAACUUCUGGCUCUCCACCCAGAAACAUGGAUGAAAGAUAUACUUUGUGACUCAAGGUUACAAGAAACUGAUAGGACAAAAUUUGUUUCUGUCAUGUGGGCGAUUUGGACUUCCAGAAAUAAUAUAACACAUGACAAGGAAAGUUCAAACCCAGUCCAGUUUAUGAGAGCGAUCAAGGAUGCUUUGGCGGUGCUAGAACUUCCUGUGGAGCACACCAAAGUCUUGACCGGCUACGGAUGGAGACCACCUGAGGGUGAUGGGAUUAAGAUCAACACCGAUGCAGGUAUCUCUAGUGAGGAGAGAAAAGGGGUGCCUAUCUCUAGUGAGGGAUCGCUCGGUCUUCGACUGCCUUUCUUGCGGCUUGGAGCAAGCUUUAUCCUGGAGUGA
rnacentral:rRNA from 1 species